CCUUCGGGGCAAGUAGAGCGGCGGACGGGUGAGUAAUGCUUGGGAAUCUACCUAGUAGUGGGGGAUAACCUGUGGAAACGCAGGCUAAUACCGCAUACGUCCUACGGGAGAAAGCAGGGGACCUUCGGACCUUGCGCUAUUGGAUGAGCCCAAGUCGGAUUAGCUAGUUGGUGGGGUAAUGGCUCACCAAGGCGACGAUCCGUAGCUGGUCUGAGAGGAUGAUCAGCCACACUGGGACUGAGACACGGCCCAGACUCCUACGGGAGGCAGCAGUGGGGAAUAUUGGACAAUGGGCGAAAGCCUGAUCCAGCCAUGCCGCGUGUGUGAAGAAGGCUCUAGGGUUGUAAAGCACUUUCAGUAGGGAGGAAUGGUUAUUGAUUAAUACUCAAUAAUUUUGACGUUACCUACAGAAGAAGCACCGGCAAACUCCGUGCCAGCAGCCGCGGUAAUACGGAGGGUGCGAGCGUUAAUCGGAAUUACUGGGCGUNAGCGCGCGUAGGUGGUUUGAUAAGCUAGCUGUGAAAGCCCUGGGCUCAACCUGGGAACUGCAGUUAGAACUGUCUGACUAGAGUACAGUAGAGGGUGGCGGAAUUUCCUGUGUAGCGGUGAAAUGCGUAGAUAUAGGAAGGAACAUCAGUGGCGAAGGCGGCCACCUGGACUGAUACUGACACUGAGGUGCGAAAGCGUGGGGAGCAAACAG
rnacentral:rRNA from 1 species